GUGGUUUGUCGCGUCGUCUGUGAAAUUCUGGGGCUUAACUCCGGGCGUGCAGGCGAUACGGGCAUAACUUGAGUGCUGUAGGGGUAACUGGAAUUCCUGGUGUAGCGGUGAAAUGCGCAGAUAUCAGGAGGAACACCGAUGGCGAAGGCAGGUUACUGGGCAGUUACUGACGCUGAGGAGCGAAAGCAUGGGUAGCGAACAGGAUUAGAUACCCUGGUAGUCCAUGCCGUAAACGGUGGGCGCUAGGUGUGAGGGUCUUUCUACGACUUUCGUGCCGUAGCUAACGCAUUAAGCGCCCCGCCUGGGGAGUACGGCCGCAAGGCUAAAACUCAAAGGAAUUGACGGGGGCCCGCACAAGCGGCGGAGCAUGUGGAUUAAUUCGAUGCAACGCGAAGAACCUUACCUGGGCUUGACAUACACCAGAUUGGGCUAGAGAUAGUUCGUCCCUUUGUGGUUGGUGUACAGGUGGUGCAUGGUUGUCGUCAGCUCGUGUCGUGAGAUGUUGGGUUAAGUCCCGCAACGAGCGCAACCCUUGUCUUAUGUUGCCAGCAUUUGGUUGGGGACUCAUGAGAGACUGCCGGGGUUAACUCGGAGGAAGGUGGGGAUGACGUCAAAUCAUCAUGCCCCUUAUGUCCAGGGCUUCACACAUGCUACAAUGGUCGGUACAACGCGCUGCGACACUGUGAGGUGGAGCGAAUCGCUGAAAGCCGGCCUUAGUUCGGAUUGGGGUCUGCAACUCGACCCCAUGAAGUCGGAGUCGCUAGUAAU
rnacentral:rRNA from 1 species